rnacentral:rRNA from 1 species
AUUGAACGCUGGCGGCAGGCUUAACACAUGCAAGUCGAGCGGUAACAGAUCUAGCUUGCUAGAUGCUGACGAGCGGCGGACGGGUGAGUAACGCGUAGAUAGCUGCCUAGUAGUGGGGGAUAGCCCGGGGAAACUCGGAUUAAUACCGCAUACGCUCUACGGAGGAAAGGGGGCUUCGGCUCUCGCUAUUAGAUGUGUCUGCGUGGGAUUAGCUAGUUGGUGAGGUAAAGGCUCACCAAGGCGACGAUCUCUAGCUGGUCUGAGAGGAUGAUCAGCCACACUGGGACUGAGACACGGCCCAGACUCCUACGGGAGGCAGCAGUGGGGAAUAUUGCACAAUGGGCGCAAGCCUGAUGCAGCCAUGCCGCGUGUGUGAAGAAGGCUCUA